rnacentral:rRNA from 1 species
UACGUAGGGGGCAAGCGUUGUCCGGAAUUAUUGGGCGUAAAGGGUGUGUAGGCGGUUCUCUAAGUUUGGUGUGAAAUCUCCCGGCUCAACCGGGAGGGUGCGCCGAAAACUGGGGGACUAGAGUGCGGGAUGGGAGAGUAGAAUUCCUGGUGUAGCGGUGAAAUGCGUAGAUGUCAGGAGGAAUACCGGUGGUGUAGACGGCUCUCUGGACCGCAACUGACGCUGAGACACGAAAGCGUGGGUAGCAAACAGG